rnacentral:snRNA from 1 species
AUUGCUUCUUGGCCUUUUGCUUAAGAUCAAGUGUAG